AACGAACGCUGGCGGCAGGCCUAACACAUGCAAGUCGAACGCCGUAGCAAUACGGAGUGGCAGACGGGUGAGUAACACGUGGGAACGUACCCUUCGGUUCGGGAUAGCUCAGGGAAACUUGAGCUAAUACCGGAUACGUCCGAGAGGAGAAAGAUUUAUUGCCGAGGGAUCGGCCCGCGUCUGAUUAGCUUGUUGGUGAGGUAACGGCUCACCAAGGCGACGAUCAGUAGCGGUCUGAGAGGAUGAUCAGCCACAUUGGGACUGAGACACGGCCCAAACUCCUACGGGAGGCAGCAGUGGGGAAUAUUGGACAAUGGGCGCAAGCCUGAUCCAGCCAUGCCGCGUGAGUGAUGAAGGCC
rnacentral:rRNA from 1 species